rnacentral:rRNA from 1 species
AGCCUGAUGCAGCACGCCGCGUGAGGGAUGACGGCCUUCGGGUUGUAAACCUCUUUUGGUAGGGAAGAAGCCUUCGGGUGACGGUACCUGCAGAAAAAGCGCCGGCUAACUACGUGCCAGCAGCCGCGGUAAUACGUAGGGCGCAAGCGUUAUCCGGAAUUAUUGGGCGUAAAGAGCUCGUAGGCGGUCUGUCGCGUCUGCUGUGAAAUUCCGAGGCUCAACCUCGGGCUUGCAGUGGGUACGGGCAGACUAGAGUGCGGUAGGGGAGAUUGGAAUUCCUGGUGUAGCGGUGGAAUGCGCAGAUAUCAGGAGGAACACCGAUGGCGAAGGCAGAUCUCUGGGCCGUUACUGACGCUGAGGAGCGAAAGGGUGGGGAGCAAACAGGCUUAGAUACCCUGGUAGUCCACCCCGUAAACGUUGGGAACUAGUUGUGGGGUCCUUUCCACGGAUUCCGUGACGUAGCUAACGCAUUAAGUUCCCCGCCUGGGGAGUACGGCCGCAAGGCUAAAACUCA